rnacentral:rRNA from 1 species
GAUAGAACGCAGCGGCAGGCUUAACACAUGCAAGUCGAGGGGCAGCGCGACGUAGCAAUACGUUGGCGGCGACCGGCGGAAGGGUGCGUAACGCGUGAGCAACUUGCCCGUGACAGGGGGAUAACCGGUGGAAACGCCGCCUAACACCCCGUAACAGCAUCGCCCGCAUGGGCGGUGUUUGAAAUCCGAGGAGGUCACGGAUGGGCUCGCGUGGCAUUAGCCAGUUGGCGGGGUAACGGCCCACCAAAGCGACGAUGCCUAGGGGUUCUGAGAGGAAGGUCCCCCACACUGGAACUGAGACACGGUCCAUACACCUACGGGUGGCAGCAGUAGGGGAAUAUUGGUAAUCUGGGAAACCGGGAACCAGCAACGCCGCGUGCGCGAUGAAGGCCUUCGGGUUGUAAAGCGCUUUUUAAAGGGAUGAGGAAGGACAGUACCUUUAGAAUAAGCCUCGGCUAACUACGUG